rnacentral:rRNA from 1 species
GUGCACCAGGCGCGAAACCUUCGCAAUGCGGGAAACCGCGACGAGGGGACUCCCAGUGCCUACGCUCAGCGUAGGCUGUUCCCGAGCCUAGAAAGCUCGGGGAGUAAGGGCUGGGUAAGACGGGUGCCAGCCGCCGCGGUAAUACCCGCAGCCCGAGUGGUGGCCACUAUUAUUGGGCCUAAAGCGUCCGUAGCCGGCCCGGUAAAUGCCUGGGUAAAUCGUGAGGCCUAACCUCACGAAUUCCGGGUAGACUGCCGGGCUAGGGACCGGAGGAGGGAGAGGGUACUCCAGGGGUAGGGGUGAAAUCCUGUAAUCCCUGGAGGACCACCGGUGGCGAAGGCGCUCUCCCAGGACGGGUCCGACGGUGAGGGACGAAAGCCAGGGGAGCGAACCGGAUUAGAUACCCGUGUAGU